GUCGUACGAGAGUUUUAAACUCAAGUGGCGGACGGGUGAGUAACACGUAAGAAUUUACCUUUAGGAGGGGGACAACAGCUGGAAACGGUUGCUAAUACCCCAUAUGCUUUCGAGUGAAAUGGAUUUUUCCGCCUAGAGAGAAGCUUGCGGCUGAUUAGCUUGUUGGUAAGGUAAUGGCUUACCAAGGCGACGAUCAGUAUCUGGUUUGAGAGGACGAUCAGACACACUGGAACUGAGACACGGUCCAGACUCCUACGGGAGGCAGCAGUGGGGAAUUUUCCGCAAUGGGCGCAAGCCUGACGGAGCAAUCUCGCGUGAGGGAUGACUGCCUAUGGGUUGUAAACCUCUUUUUUCAGGGAGGAAUUAAUGACGUGUACCUGAAGAAUAAGCAUCGGCUAACUCCGUGCCAGCAGCCGCGGUAAGACGGAGGAUGCAAGUGUUAUCCGGAAUCACUGGGCGUAAAGCGUCUGUAGGUGGUUUAAUAAGUCAACUGUUAAAUCUUGAAGCUCAACUUCAAAACCGCAGUCGAAACUAUUAGACUAGAGUAUAGUAGGGGUAAAGGGAAUUUCCAGUGGAGCGGUGAAAUGCGUAGAGAUUGGAAAGAACACCGAUGGCGAAGCACUUUACUGGGCUAUUACUGACACUCAGAGACGAAAGCUAGGGUAGCAAAUGGGAUUAGAUACCCCAGUAGUCCUAG
rnacentral:rRNA from 1 species